rnacentral:rRNA from 1 species
CACCGGCAGCUCAAGUGGUGGCCACUUUUAUUGGGCCUAAGCGUUCGUAGCCGGCUUGAUAAGUCUCUGGUGAAAUCCCACGGCUUAACUGUGGGAAUUGCUGGAGAUACUAUUAGGCUUGAGGCCGGGAGAGGCUGUAGGUACUCCCGGGGUAGGGGCGAAAUCCUAUAAUCCCGGGAGGACCACCUGUGGCGAAGGCGUACAGCUGGAACGGACCUGACGGUGAGUAACGAAAGCCAGGGGCG